CGUUCGGUUCCCAGUUUACACUUGCUGGCUCCACCGCAAGUCCCUUUUCCUUUCCCCUCCCGACUACAACCCUGAAAAUAAACAAAAUACACAUGCAGAGGCAGUUGGCACUCACUGGUUAAUGAUUUGUCAGUGAGUGAGCCUGUUUCACUUUCCCGUGUUCCUGACAUUGAUGCCAGACAAAAGUCGUGCAGUUUGAGCGUGGGUAAAAUAUACCCACUAAUACUUAUUGAAUUCUCACUGACAGAUGACGCUAGUGACCAGCGGACAUUAGGGUGUGGAAACAUGAACAUAAAAUUAACAUAGCUGUCAAAAAUAAAAAUAAAAUAAUAAUAGUAAGAAUUGAUUUCUAUGAAGGGGAAGUUUUAUAAAAGCCUCCUUGUUGGCAGAAGACGCUCUCUUUUUAAUACCGAUCCUCGAAAGGAAUUGUAGUGCGCGCGCGAAUAGUGUAAUAAUUCGAGGUUAGAAUAAUUGUUAAAAAGAAACCUCUUAGUGGUGAAAAUUUCUAUAAUUUUGUGCUGUCUUUUCUUUAAAUUUAGGAUCAAAGUACAGAGUUGUUUGUCAACAUAAGUGUUAGUAAUUGCCAUGCAGAAACAAAAACAAACAAUUGAACAAAUAACAAUAACGAUCCACAACAACUGUUAAAAUAGUCACUAUGACUGGCUAAAAUCAAGAAAAAGGUCCACACCAGGGACCUUUUUCUUUUGUAUUAUUGUUCCAACAGUGACAGAUGAACAACGGUUGACAUUUCCGAAGAUUGGGUAGUGGAUGAGGUGGCUGUUCCGGAUUUCCGUUAUAAUCGUCUCCGGUUCGAACAACUUGUGAGAAGCGCACGUCGGAAGAACGCCAUUGUGAUCCACCCACCUUGCUGAAGCACAUCCGCCAUCUUCCAUGUUCCGUCACCGUGAACCAAUCGCCAUUGUGUCCCAAAGCUUCUAUGGAAGUAGCCCAACCACCAACCAACUACCGUUCGGCGAUCCGUCGGCACGUGGGAAGUCAAGUGUCACGAACUGCCCCACCCUAGUUCGGUACCGUCGACAUCAUAUCAGCCAAACCGCUACCAAGAACCGAUUGCCCGAUACUCCGUCGGCAAUAGAGAUGCCUCGCCUUCUGGCCAACUACCAAGAAUUGGCCCACCCUAGUCCAGCAACCAACGGGAAGAACCAAGCAAACCCGCUACCAUCACUACCAACCGUCGCCAGGAUCCGGAUCCAAACUUCAAGUACCAAGCAUGCUAAAGAUAAGUACCCUUAAGUGACGUCACCCUUGUAAAUAAACCCCAUGUAAUUAGAUAGCUUCAGUGGUAGCCCAUUAUUUAGAGAGAGCAGCCCUGAAUUGUAGACUUUCUCACCCCUUUUCUUUGUUCGUUGUUUCCGGGUUCCGAUAGAGAACCGUUCAAGCCUCGCCUUUGGAGUGAUUGGUUAUUUCUUAGCGUUUGUCCCCUAAAUGUUUAGUUUGGACACCCUUACUCCGACACUUGCCCCUCAUGUGAGUCAGAGUUCCAUUGCAUACUGUUCCUGCAACGAUUUAGAUCUCAUUCAGGUCAGUGGAUGUAUGGGAAAGAAAAGUCAUUCAUCGACCCUGCAGAUUCCCACCCCCGAGCUAGCGAG